UGGGGAAUAUUGGACAAUGGGGGCAACCCUGAUCCAGCCAUGCCGCGUGAGUGAUGAAGGCCCUAGGGUUGUAAAGCUCUUUCGGUGGGGAAGAUAAUGACGGUACCCACAGAAGAAGCCCCGGCUAACUUCGUGCCAGCAGCCGCGGUAAUACGAAGGGGGCUAGCGUUGCUCGGAAUCACUGGGCGUAAAGCGCACGUAGGCGGAUCUUUAAGUCAGGGGUGAAAUCCCGGAGCUCAACUCCGGAACUGCCUUUGAUACUGAGGACCUUGAGUCCGGGAGAGGUGAGUGGAACUGCGAGUGUAGAGGUGAAAUUCGUAGAUAUUCGCAAGAACACCAGUGGCGAAGGCGGCUCACUGGCCCGGUACUGACGCUGAGGUGCGAAAGCGUGGGGAGCAAACAGGAUUAGAUACCCCCGUAGUCC
rnacentral:rRNA from 1 species